GACGAACGCUGGCGGCGUGCCUAAUACAUGCAAGUCGAACGCAGUGGGGACGGGUGAGUAACACGUGGGUAACCUCCCAUCAGAGGAGAUAACACUUGGAAACAGGUGCUAAACCGAUACUGAUUGAUGGACCCGCGGUGCAUUAGCUAGUUGGUGGGGUAACGGCUCACCAAGGCCACGAUGCAUACCGGACCUGAGAGGGUGAUUGGCCACACUGGGACUGAGAAACGGCCCAGACUCCGACGGUAGGCAGCAGUAGGGAAUCUUAGGCAAUGGGCGAAAGUCUGACCGAGCAACGCCGCGUGAAUGAAGAAGGUUUUCGGAUUGUAAAGCUCUGUUGGUUGAGAAGCGGUAUCUACCCAGAAAGCCACGGCUAACUACGUGCCAGCAGCCGCGGUAAUUC
rnacentral:rRNA from 1 species